rnacentral:rRNA from 1 species
UGGGGAAUAUUGCACAAUGGGGGAAACCCUGAUGCAGCGACGCCGCGUGGAGGAAGAAGGUCUUCGGAUUGUAAACUCCUGUCCCAGGGGACGAUAAUGACGGUACCCUGGGAGGAAGCACCGGCUAACUACGUGCCAGCAGCCGCGGUAAAACGUAGGGUGCAAGCGUUGUCCGGAAUUACUGGGUGUAAAGGGAGCGCAGGCGGAUUGGCAAGUUGGGAGUGAAAUCUAUGGGCUCAACCCAUAAAUUGCUUUCAAAACUGUCAGUCUUGAGUGGUGUAGAGGUAGGCGGAAUUCCCGGUGUAGCGGUGGAAUGCGUAGAUAUCGGGAGGAACACCAGUGGCGAAGGCGGCCUACUGGGCACUAACUGACGCUGAGGCUCGAAAGCAUGGGUAGCAAACA